rnacentral:rRNA from 1 species
CUGCGAAUGGCUCAUUAAAUCAGUUAUCGUUUAUUUGAUAGUACCUUACUACACGGAUAUCUGUGGUAAUUCUAGAGUUAAUACGUGCUAAAAACCUCGACUUCGGGAGGGGUGUAUUUAUUAGACUAAAAACCAAUGCCCUUCGGGGCUCCUUGGUGAUUCAUAAUAACUCAACGAAUCGCAUGGCCUUGAGCCGGCGAUGGUUCAUUCAAAUUUCUGCCCUAUCAACUUUCGAUGCUAGGGUAGUGGCCUAGCAUGGUGACAACGGGUAACGGGGGAUUAGGGUUCUAUUCCGGAGAGGGAGCCCGAGAAACGGCUACCACAUCCAAGGAAGGCAGCAGGCGCGCAAAUUACCCAAUCCCGACACGGGGAGGUAGUGACAAUAAAUACUGAUACAGGGCUCUUUUGGGUCUUGUAAUUGGAAUGAGUACGAUUUAAAUACCCUAACGAGGAACAAUUGGAGGGCAAGUCUGGUGCCAGCAGCCGCGGUAAUUCCAGCUCCAAUAGCGUAUAUUAAAGUUGUUGCAGUUAAAACGCUCGUCGUUGAACCUUGGGCCUGGGCGAUCGGUCCCCUCACCGGGAGCACUGGUUCGGCCGGGCCUUUCCUUCUGGGGAUCCGCAUGCCCUUCACUGGGCGUGCUGGGGAACCAGGACUUUUACUUUGAAAAAAUUAGAGUGUUCAAAGCAGGCCUUUGCUCGAAUACCUUAGCAUGGAAUAAUAGAAUAGGACGUGCGGUCCUAUUUUGUUGGUUUCUAGGACCGCCGUAAUGAUUAAUAGGGUCAGUCGGGGGCAUCAGUAUUCAAUUGUCAGAGGUGAAAUUCUUAGAUUUAUUGAAGACUAACUACUGCGAAAGCAUUUGCCAAGGAUGUUUUCAUUAAUCAGUGAACGAAAGUUAGGGGAUCGAAGACGAUCAGAUACCGUCGUAGUCCUAACCAUAAACUAUGCCGACUAGGGAUCGGGGUAUC